UCGGGGGAGAGGGAGGCAGCACCCCCGGGACCCUGGUGAACCCCCCGUGCCCCAUUGCUCCCCAUGAGACACCCCCAGUGUGCCCCCAUUGUGCCCCAUGAGACAGCCCCAGUGUGCCCCCAUUGUGCCCCAUGAGACACCCCCGGUGUGCCCCCGUUGUGCCCCAUGAGACAGCCCCAGUGUGCCCCCAUUGUGCCCCAUGAGACAGCCCCAGUGUGCCCCCAUUGUGCCCCAUGAGACACCCCCAGUGUGCCCCCAUUGUGCCCCAUGAGACAGCCCUGGUGUGCCCCCGUUGUGCCCCAUGAGACAGCCCCGGUGUGCCCCCAUUGUGCCCCAUGAGACACCCCCAGUGUGCCCCCGUUGUGCCCCAUGAGACAGCCCCAGUGUGCCCCCAUUGUGCCCCAUGAGACACCCCCAGUGUGCCCCCGUUGUGCCCCAUGAGACAGCCCCAGUGUGCCCCCAUUGUGCCCCAUGAGACACCCCCAGUGUGUCCCCGUUGUGCCCCAUGAGACAGCCCCAGUGUGCCCCCAUUGUGCCCCAUGAGACACCCCCAGUGUGCCCCCGUUGUGCCCCAUGAGACAGCCCCAGUGUGCCCCUGUUGUGCCCCAUGAGACAGCCCCAGUGUGCCCCCAUUGUGCCCCAUGAGACACCCCCGGUGUGCCCCCAUUGUGCCCCAUGAGACACCCCCGGUGUGCCCCCAUUGUGCCCCAUGAGACAGCCCCAGUGUGCCCCCGUUGUGCCCCAUGAGACAGCCCCAGUGUGCCCCCAUUGUGCCCCAUGAGACAGCCCCAGUGUGCCCCCAUUGUGCCCCAUGAGACAGCCCCAGUGUCCCCACUGUGCCCCAUGAGACAGCCCCAGUGUGCCCCCGUUGUGCCCCAUGAGACAGCCCCAGUGUGCCCCCAUUGUGCCCCAUGAGACAGCCCCGGUGUGCCCCCGUUGUGCCCCAUGAGACACCCCCGGUGUGCCCCCGUUGUGCCCCAUGAGACAGCCCCGGUGUGCCCCCAUUGUGCCCCAUGAGACAGCCCCAGUGUCCCCACUGUGCCCCAUUACACACCCUCACUGCACCCCCUUGUACCUACUGUUCCACCUCUAAUACACCCCAAACCCCAAUGCACCCCCCGACCCCCAUCCCACCCCACUGCACCCCAAACCCCAGUGCACCCCUGACUCCCACCCCACCCCACUGCAGCCCUUCCAGCACCCCAUCAUUGCCCCCAUGUCCCUGCUGGCUCUGUCUCCAGUGUCCCCCACAUCCCCUCUGCACCCCCAAUGUCCCCUGUGUCCCCCACACCCCCAGUGUCCCCUGUGCACCCCACAAUGCCAUGUCCCCUGUAUCCCCCACACCCCCAGUGUCCCCUCUGUCCCCCACACCACCAAUGUCCCCUGUGUCCUCCCCAUCCCCACUGCCCCUUCUGUCCCCAUGUCCCUGUCCCAGAAGACCCCAAGGUCCCUCACAUUCCUCACAUCUUCCCCCCUUGCUGAUGUCCCCAGUGUCCCCAAUGUCCUGUGUCCCUCACAUCCCCUAUGUCCUCUGUCCUAUCCCCAGUGUCCCCAAUGUCCUGUGUCCCAUCCCUGAUGUCCUGUGUUCCUCACAUCCCCAGUGUCCCAUGAUGUCCCCAUGUCCCCCACAUCCCUGAUGUCCCACAAUGUCCCCUGUGUCCCCCACAGCCGUGACGUCCCCAAUGUCCCCAGCAUACCCCUCACACCCAAAGUUCACCAUGUCCUCCCAUGUCCCCUGAUUUCCCCAGUGUCCCUGAUGUCCCCAGUGUCCCCCAUGUCCCUGAUAUCCCCAUGUCCCCCAUGUCCCUGAUAUCCGCAGUGUCCCCCAUGUCCCUGAUGUCCCCGUUGUCCCCCAUGUCCCUGAUAUCCGCAGUGUCCCCCAUGUCCCUGAUGUCCCCCAUGUCCCUGAUGUCCCCAGUGUCCCCCAUGUCCCUGAUAUCCCCAGUGUCCCCCAUGUCCCUGAUGUCCCCCAUGUCCCUGAUGUCCCCAGUGUCCCCCAUGUCCCUGAUGUCCCCGUGUCCCCCAUGUCCCUGAUAUCCGCAGUGUCCCCCAUGUCCCUGAUGUCCCCAGUGUCCCCCAAGUCCCUGAUGUCCCCAGUGUCCCCCAUGUCCCUGAUAUCCGCAGUGUCCCCCAUGUCCCUGAUGUCCCCGUGUCCCCCAUGUCCCUGAUAUCCGCAGUGUCCCCCAUGUCCCUGAUGUCCCCGUGUCCCCCAUGUCCCUGAUAUCCGCAGUGUCCCCCAUGUCCCUGAUGUCCCCAGUGUCCCCCGUGUCCCUGAUGUCCCCGUGU